rnacentral:rRNA from 1 species
AUUGAACGCUGGCGGCAUGCCUUACACAUGCAAGUCGAACGGCAGCACGGGUGCCUGCACCUGGUGGCGAGUGGCGCACGGGUGUGAGAUACAUGGGGACAUGCCCUCUAGCGGGGGAGAGCCCGGCGAAAGCCGGGUUACUACCGCAUACGAUCAACGGAUGAAAGCGGGGGACCGGCGGGACGCGCGCUCUGGGGAUGGCCGCGGGCUGAUUAGCUAGUGGGUGGGGUAGACGCCCACCAAGGCGAUGAUCAGGAGCUGGUGUGAGAGGACGACUAGCCACACGGGGACUGAGACACGGCCCAGACUCCUACGGGAGGGAGCAGUGGGGAAUUUUGGACAAGGGGCGAAAGCCUGAUCCAGAAGUGCCGCGUGUGUGAAGAAGGUUUUCGGGUUGUAAAGCACUUUUGUCGGGAGAGAAAGUCUUGGCCCUAAUACGGCGGGGCGAUGACGGUACCGGAAGAAUAAGCACCGGCUAACUACGUG